rnacentral:lncRNA from 1 species
GUGGAAUCCACAGGCCCUUCUGCUCACGCGGUCAGCUCUGCUCCAGCGCAGACACCCUUUGAUUAAGGAGGGUAUUUCGGGGAGUGAGGCUGUGCGGAAGAUCACGCUGUGCCCUAUGGUGCUGUCAGCAGUGACAGUUCCCAGAUGGGGCCGCUACUGUAUGGCAGAUUGAGUUUCUCAGCAGAAAGCUCACCCUGCCUCCUAAACGUCUUCAAAACCUUCUCCAGAUACACCAGGUCGCUUCGUGUGAAACCGAAACAGUCCAGCCUCAGUGUUGGUUUUGGUGCUUUAUGUUAGGGGUGGGUUUUUUGUUUGGGGGGGGGUUGUUUGUUUUUCAGCCUUCUUUUUCUCGCCACUUCCUCCUCCUCUGAGCAUCUUCGACUGCAGGCCUACCCGGCUUCUAAAUGCGUAGAUGUGGCGGGCCUGGGGGGAUCCUGUGCGCCUCGCUCACGGCGCCACGCUGCCGAAGACUCAGAACCGAGGGUCCCCAAGGCAAUCCGGUUUCCACUUCCUCUUUACUGCUCGAGGAAUCUCACUUCCCAGGCUUCUCCCCAAGAAGAGCCUGGGCAUGAGAGGUCCACUGAGAAGGCCGGAAGCCCCGAGUUCCAACGCAACCCUAGGCGACCCGGGUUAGCCGGCGACCCGGGUUAGCCGCCGGCCCGGGUCGGAGCCGGCUCCAGCGGACGGACGGAACGGAGUACCGGGAGGAAGAAGUGAGCUCACCGGGCAAGGAAAGCAGGAGGCUCGGCCUGGCCGCCGCGGCCCUGGGCGCCGAGCUCUGAGGCGCAAAACCUGGAGGAGAAGCUGUGCGCCCAGGUCCUCCGCGGCCGCCCUCCGAAGAGGCCGCCCAGCCCGACUCCAGCCAUUCUCACAGCUCCCUCAGAAGGGGAGCGCCAGGCGCGACCUGCAGGUUCCGGCCUGGAAGACUGAGGCUGGAGUCCCAGGGUGCGCGCUGGCUGCGUUCUGGCCGAGGCGGCCUUCGAGUCGCCAGGCUUCCCAUCCUCCCUCCGCGUACGCGUUUCUUUCUGAGCCUCUCGCACCCGUGCAUGCUCUCUCUCUCUCUCUCUCUCUCUCUCUCUCUCUCUCUCUCUCUCUCUCUCUCUGGCUCUGGAAAAAACCAGGUCCUGCACCUGUAAUUUGCGAUUAGAAGUUUAUUUCCAUGUGAAUGCCAGUGCCCGAAGUUUUUGAAUCCUUCUCUACAGGAAAGGUAGAAUAACGUGCUGCGCAAUCUGUUUUCCAACCUCGCGCCCUCUACACAACUGCGACAUCACCAGGGUGCUCCGACGCAGUUCGGCCUACAGAAAUGUAUAGAGAGGGCUGCGAUUUCACCUCGGCACCUGGCCCUGUAAGCGGAAAGUUUGGGAGUGUAGGACAAGCAUUUCCAAACUGACUUUGGGCUGAACGAAUGCCAGGGUGCCUGUCGCCUGGGGAGGAUCCGCACCGUUGGUUCUCCGAAGCAGUGCUCCGGCCGACCGGCUCUGCCGCGGAACAGUCACUCGGCGGCCGAAACACGGGUUCAAGUUAGUUGCUUCGUGGUCUCAUGGACUUCUCUCUCACACAUGGAAAUGAUGUCUGAGGACUGCUUACAUUCUGGAGAAAAUGCCUGGGAUUUUUGAUCUGAGGAAUUGGCAGAAGGUAGGAGAGGGGCUUGGAAACUCUAAAAUCAAGAAAUUCAAGAGGAAAAAUUAAAGAAGAACAAGAAACUGUUUGAAGAAAGGAAGGAAAGUAAAAGAAUUGUGUGCAAAAUCCUAAGGGUGUUUGAAAUUUCUCCUGAGUUUCCAGCAAAGGUAGCCGUAGCCUGCCUGUCUCUCUUUCCCUGGGUUUCCCCAUGGACUCUCUGGUUCAGUAUUUCUGGACUCCUUUGCCUGGAAACCACACAUUUACAAACAAGCAGCCUAGUCACAGGGAGGCCUUACCCACUGGUGAUGGGUAGGGAAAGCUGCCGGUGUGGACAAGGAGCCAGGGUGGGAAAAGCCCUGGGCAGGCCUGGCAGGGCUGGAGUAUGGCCUUCCAGACCUGUCUGGCUGUAGGACAAAGGUGCUGAGCUCACCACCUGUAGGGG